CAGUAGCCGCGGUAAUACGAAGGGGGCUAGCGUUGUUCGGAUUUACUGGGCGUAAAGCGCACGUAGGCGGACUUUUAAGUCAGGGGUGAAAUCCCGGGGCUCAACCCCGGAACUGCCUUUGAUACUGGGAGUCUUGAGUUCGAGAGAGGUGAGUGGAAUUGCGAGUGUAGAGGUGAAAUUCGUAGAUAUUCGCAGGAACACCAGUGGCGAAGGCGGCUCACUGGCUCGAUACUGACGCUGAGGUGCGAAAGCGUGGGGAGCAAACAGGAUUAGAUACCCCCGUAGUCCCUGUCUCUUAUAC
rnacentral:rRNA from 1 species